CUCCCCUCACACAUUCUCAGUGGCAUUUGAGGAGGUAUAAAAGCCUUGACGGCCGCUGUCGCCACAGGACCAGUUCUAGUGCAAUACUUCAUUGUGUACUGUACACCGCCGGACCCAGUCUCUGACCUCCAGCCAUGAUGACCAGGAACAUUCUCAUCCUCUGCUCAUUAGCACUGGUACUGGUUAAAGCGGACCUUGAAGCAGCUGACGGAGGGUCCCAAGCCAUGUUCGCUACAGAUCCAGAUUCAACCUCAGAUGAAGCUCCAACUGAAAGCAUGAACCUGCUCUCACCCGACCUGCCCAAUGGUGAGUGAUCACUGCUUCACAUGGUAGGACAGGAGCUGUUUCUUAUGAACUUUGGAUUUGAUUUGUGCACCAGACUAGCUUACGUUCCUGAUAAACAAGAGAGAAUGAUUGUUAGUUUGGGAAGGAACAAUGUGUGAUGUGUUGAGACACGUCUGACAUGUCGCCCUUAGGGUUAAACUGAAGGUUUCAACUCAUUGCCUAACAGAGCUUUUGAAGCCUGACUCACAGAAUGAUACGAGAACAUGAGAGAUCAUUCAACUGUUUUCAUGAUAAACGUCUUAUUCUAUAGUUCUUAAGGAGUCCAUCUGUGUCCUGGUGCUAUAUAAAAAAUAAAAAUAAAAUAAACCAAAACACUGAUCUGAAAAACCUGUAAUGAAACACCAAGAUC